GAUGAACGCUAGCGGCAGGCUUAACACAUGCAAGUCGAGGGGUAUAGAGAGCUUGCUUUCUAGAGACCGGCGCACGGGUGCGUAACGCGUAUGCAAUCUACCUUUCACAAAGGGAUAGCCCAGAGAAAUUUGGAUUAAUACCUUAUAGUAUUACAGAAUGGCAUCAUUUUGUAAUUAAAGAUUUAUCGGUGAAAGAUGAGCAUGCGUCCCAUUAGUUAGUUGGUAAGGUAACGGCUUACCAAGACUACGAUGGGUAGGGGUCCUGAGAGGGAGAUCCCCCACACUGGUACUGAGACACGGACCAGACUCCUACGGGAGGCAGCAGUGAGGAAUAUUGGACAAUGGGCGCAAGCCUGAUCCAGCCAUGCCGCGUGCAGGAUGACGGUCCUAUGGAUUGUAAACUGCUUUUAUACAGGAAGAAACCCUCCGACGUGUCGGAGCUUGACGGUACUGUAAGAAUAAGGAUCGGCUAACUCCGUG
rnacentral:rRNA from 1 species